GACGAACGCUGGCGGCGUGCCUAAUACAUGCAAGUAGAACGCUGAAGAGAGGAGCUUGCUCUUCUUGGAUGAGUUGCGAACGGGUGAGUAACGCGUAGGUAACCUGCCUUGUAGCGGGGGAUAACUAUUGGAAACGAUAGCUAAUACCGCAUAACAAUGGGUGACUCAUGUCAUUUAUUUGAAAGGGGCAAAUGCUCCACUACAAGAUGGACCUGCGUUGUAUUAGCUAGUAGGUGAGGUAACGGCUCACCUAGGCGACGAUACAUAGCCGACCUGAGAGGGUGAUCGGCCACACUGGGACUGAGACACGGCCCAGACUCCUACGGGAGGCAGCAGUAGGGAAUCUUCGGCAAUGGGGGCAACCCUGACCGAGCAACGCCGCGUGAGUGAAGAAGGUUUUCGGAUCGUAAAGCUCUGUUGUAAGUCAAGAACGAGUGUGAGAGUGGAAAGUUCACACUGUGACGGUAGCUUACCAGAAAGGGACGGCUAACUACGUGCCAGCAGCCGCGGUAAUACGUAGGUCCCGAGCGUUGUCCGGAUUUAUUGGGCGUAAAGCGAGCGCAGGCGGUUUGAUAAGUCUGAAGUUAAAGGCUGUGGCUCAACCAUAGUUCGCUUUGGAAACUGUCAAACUUGAGUGCAGAAGGGGAGAGUGGAAUUCCAUGUGUAGCGGUGAAAUGCGUAGAUAUAUGGAGGAACACCGGUGGCGAAAGCGGCUCUCUGGUCUGUAACUGACGCUGAGGCUCGAAAGCGUGGGGAGCGAACAGG
rnacentral:rRNA from 1 species